AUACGGAGGGUGCAAGCGUUACUCGGAAUCACUGGGCGUAAAGCGCGCGCAGGCGGCUAUUUAAGUUGGAUGUGAAAGCCUACGGCUCAACCGUAGAACUGCAUCCAAAACUAUUUAGCUAGAGUGUGGGAGAGGAAGAUGGAAUUAGUUGUGUAGGGGUAAAAUCCGUAGAGAUAGCUAGGAAUACCAAAAGCGAAGGCAAUCUUCUGGAACACUACUGACGCUGAGGCGCGAAAGCGUGGGGAGCAAACGGGAUUAGAAACCCUAGUAGUCC
rnacentral:rRNA from 1 species